AUAUUGGACAAUGGGGGCAACCCUGAUCCAGCAAUGCCGCGUGUGUGGAGAAGGCCUGAGGGUUGUAAAGCACUUUCAGUGGGGAGGAGGAUAUUUUGGUUAAGCGCUGAGAUAUUGGACGUUACCCACAGAAGAAGCACCGGCUAACUCCGUGCCAGCAGCCGCGGUAAUACGGAGGGUGCAAGCGUUAAUCGGAAUUACUGGGCGUAAAGGGUGCGUAGGUUGUUAGAUAAGUUAUCUGUAAAAUCCCCGGGCUUAACCUGGGCAGGUCAGAUAAGACUGUUUGACUGGAGUAUAGGAGAGGGUAGUGGAAUUUCCGGUGUAGCGGUGAAAUGCGUAGAGAUCGGAAGGAACACCAGUGGCGAAGGCGGCUACCUGGCCUAAUACUGACACUGAGGCACGAAAGCGUGGGGAGCAAAC
rnacentral:rRNA from 1 species